GAUGAACGCUGGCGGCGUGCCUAAUACAUGCAAGUCGAACGCAUUGUGGUUGAAAUGAUAUGAAGAACUUGUUCAGAUUUGAUUUUCAACAUUGCAAUGAGUGGCGAACGGGUGAGUAACACGUGGGAAACCUACCUCUUAGCAGGGGAUAACAUUUGGAAACAAAUGCUAAUACCGUAUAAUAAUUAAACCGCAUGGUUUUAGUUUAAAAGAUGGUCUUGCUAUCACUAAGAGAUGGUCCCGCGGUGUAUUAGUUAGUUGGUGAGGUAAUGGCUCACCAAGACAAUGAUACAUAGCCGAGUUGAGAGACUGACCGGCCACAAUGGGACUGAGACACGGCCCAUACUCCUACGGGAGGCAGCAGUAGG
rnacentral:rRNA from 1 species